rnacentral:miRNA from 1 species
ACGAAUAUGUUCGCCACCACAGAAACAUAACUAAAUAUAUUGUAUUUAUUGUAUUUUUAUGAUUUAUGACAAAACUACGCAAAUAGUAUUUAUUGUUUUUAUUAUAAAUCAUAAAAAUACAAUAAAAUACAAUAUAUUUAGUUAUGUUUCUGUGGUGGCGAACAUAUUCGU